CCCGCCCGAGCCCGGCCCGGCCCGGCCGUUAUUCGCUGUUCGUUGCCAGGGCCGAGCUCGAGUCACCUCCCCUUUCCCGCCUCAAAACUCCCGCUAAAAAGGGCUGACACGGAACUGAAGAGGCGGCGGCGGUUACCCGAACGCGCGCGUACGCAGACUCCGAGCCGCCUGGCGCAGGCGCACUGGUUUGUCUGUUCCUAAUUGGUGGAGAAAGCUCUAGGGUGGGCUGCCCAAAAUACACGGUUAAGAUGCAUAUGAAGGUCUGAAUGGACAUUUAUGUCAAUGUACGAGAGGCCGAGGGGGGGAGAGAAAGAAGAAAACAGAGAACGGGUUAAUUCAACACUGGCUAGCUGCUACCUGCCAAGACAGAAGGGGGGAAGUCCAACCACCCCAACCAGCCGUGACAAGAGAAGAACUAAGCCGAGACACAGAGCUGCAGAGAUAACAGCAAGAACAGUGAGAGUGAAUGAAAUGGCAACAGCAAAGGCCAACAGAAAGGAAAACAGUCUCCGGAGCCGGGAAACCAGGGAGGCCACAGCAAGCCUGUUUGGACUGGUACAAAGAGUACCAGGAACAGAGGGCCCUGAAUGAAAACCCCCACCCCAAGGAGCCCAGGAUUAAAAACCCUCCUGAGAGCUGAAGCAACUCGGAGAGCACAGCAGAUCCUUGGAUGGCCUGGGCCCAGAACAGCAUUCCCGUCCACCUUCCCCCCAACUCUUCUUCUGACGUUACACCCAGACUUGGCCAGUCUGGGUCGUGCAUGUGCGAGUAUGAAGGUGGGUUAGGGCUUGGGGCAUUAACACUUUCUUUCAUCCUCUGAGUGACAUGGGAGUGUUCCCAGCACUCUCUGCUGUUAUUUUAUUAUUUUAUCAA